UCCAGACAGCAGGGAUCCUCCAGUAAAAAGGCUUUUUAGUCUCAGUCUAGUAGGACAUCAGUUCGUCUGAGGUGAUUAAAAAUGACACGCCUACACAAAUCCAGCACACAAAGAUACAUAAACACACACACACACACACACACACACGGGCAGAUACGAACACGUGUCCGUUUGGUCACACACUCACAAGUCCACAGUGUGUAGCGAGACGGAGAGAAGAGGAGGAGAACAAUGGGAUGAAAAGGAGAAUUCCGCCUCCUCUCACCUGAUCAGACGGAGUUAUUUAUUGUAAAGUUGAGAUCCAGUGAACUUCUGCGGGGGCCAGAUUUCACCUCGCAAGUGGACAAGCGAUUUAGUGAACGAGUGAAAAACGUUGGGAUUGCUCUGAUAAAUCCCCUCAGCUGCUGGAGAGUCACUUCCUGUUCCCAUCAGUCUCUCAUCACCUCUUGGCAGAGAGUCACCAAAACGAUUCUGCAAAUGAUUCUUUUGGAACGAGUCAUUAAGGUGAACGAAUCAGUAUCACUCACUGCCAUGCACUGAGUCAUUUCAUCUGCGCAGUCACUGCUGAGGGGCUUCACAAUUCCAAACAUGGAAGCUGUUUCGUCUUGUCACGGCUGAGCAGCGUGACAGCGGCAUGUGAUGGGAGCAUGCCACGGCCACCGAAGCACUUCACAAACGUGUGUGUGUGUGUGUGUGUGUGUGUGUGUGUGUAAGAGAGAGAGUGUGUGAUUUAAAAGACAAAGUCUAAAAGGAGAAAAACUGUUCAUGAGACCUAUCAGUGAGCUUUCGUAGUGAGCUAACUUCUUCCUACACUUUGUCUUUAGUUUACAAUCCAUAUUAA